rnacentral:rRNA from 1 species
AGCGAACGCUGGCGGCAGGCUUAACACAUGCAAGUCGAGCGGGCAUAGCAAUAUGUCAGCGGCAGACGGGUGAGUAACGCGUGGGAACGUACCUUUUGGUUCGGAACAACUGAGGGAAACUUCAGCUAAUACCGGAUAAGCCCUUACGGGGAAAGAUUUAUCGCCGAAAGAUCGGCCCGCGUCUGAUUAGCUAGUUGGUGAGGUAAUGGCUCACCAAGGCGACGAUCAGUAGCUGGUCUGAGAGGAUGAUCAGCCACAUUGGGACUGAGACACGGCCCAAACUCCUACGGGAAGCAGCAGUGGGGAAUAUUGGACAAUGGGCGCAAGCCUGAUCCAGCCAUGCCGCGUGAGUGAUGAAGGCCCUAGGGUUGUAAAGCUCUUUUGUGCGGGAAGAUAAUGACGGUACCGCAAGAAUAAGCCCCGGCUAACUUCGUG